rnacentral:rRNA from 1 species
UAGGGAAUCUUCGGCAAUGGACGAAAGUCUGACCGAGCAACGCCGCGUGAGUGAAGAAGGUUUUCGGAUCGUAAAACUCUGUUGUUAGAGAAGAACAAGGACGUUAGUAACUGAACGUCCCCUGACGGUAUCUAACCAGAAAGCCACGGCUAACUACGUGCCAGCAGCCGCGGUAAUACGUAGGUGGCAAGCGUUGUCCGGAUUUAUUGGGCGUAAAGCGAGCGCAGGCGGUUUCUUAAGUCUGAUGUGAAAGCCCCCGGCUCAACCGGGGAGGGUCAUUGGAAACUGGGAGGCUUGGGUGCAGAAGAGGAGAGUGGAAUUCCAUGUGUAGCGGUGAAAUGCGUAGAUAUAUGGGGGAAAACCAGUGGGGAAGGCGGCUCUCUGGUCUGUAACUGACGCUGAGGCUCGAAAGCGUGGGGAGCAAACAGG